GCCUACGGGAGGCAGCAGUGGGGGAUAUUGCACAAUGGGGGGAACCCUGAUGCAGCGACGCCGCGUGGGUGAAGGAGUAUUUCGGUAUGUAAAGCCCUAUCGGCAGGGAAGAAGCAAGACGGUACCUGACUAAGAAGCCCCGGCUAACUACGUGCCAGCAGCCGCGGUAAUACGUAGGGGGCGAGCGUUAUCCGGAUUCACUGGGGGUAAAGGGAGUGUAGACGGCCAUGCAAGCCAGGGGGGAAAGCCCGGGGCCCAACCCCGGGACUGCCCCUGGAAAUGUGGGGGUAGAGUGCGGGAGGGGG
rnacentral:rRNA from 1 species